AUGAGGCUUGGGAGUCUGACUCAGAAAAUAAGCAGUUCUGUGUCAGAGAAUGAGGAAGCUGGUGUCGAGGAAGAGAUUUGUGAUGAGGCCAGAUCAGUGUUUGUGCUCCUCACCUUCGUCUGUUACCUGCCUCCAGCUGACUGGAUACGGAAGACUGGAUGGAGCACGUUGGCAGGAGAAUCACCGGUGAAUCUGAAGCAGGCGGAGGCAGCUUCAGUAAGACGCGCCAUUGCCGCCUCUCAGGAAACCAUUCAAGAGGGCGGAACCUGCAAGUGUUUGCCAAGAGAAAGAUUUUACAUACCCUUUUAAAAUAGACUUCAUGAGGAGCUGAGAUUUCACAAUGCAGAAGGGGAAAAAAGAAGGCGGGGAGUGUACAUUAGAAUCUGGUAUGCUGUGUACUACGUGCCUUCAAAAGUCAAAUAGAACUUCUCUCUGUCCAAAAAAUACAAAAGUAAAAUAAAAUAGACUUCCUGAGGGAUGUCAGAAAGGUACAUUGCCUCUUUAAAUGAUGUAUGAAUAGUUCAUUUAUUUUUAAAAAUAAUCACAUAUGUGUUUAUAUAAAUUAUACAUGCAAACAUAUGCUCAGCAGUUCUCCUCAUGGAAAGGCUGUUGCUUAUCCAAUUUGGUGCUGACGCUGUCUUUCCAUGGUCCUCUCUCUAGCAACAGGAUUCUGCUGUCCGCCCCGCACCCCCACCCCCGUGUAAGUGCCUGCAUAUAGAGCUCCUUCGCACGACGCCAAGCACUUACUUUUAUACUUUUCUUACCACUGAUGCUGGGUAAGAAAUAAAAUCCAGAGACUUCACUAUCUAUAAUUAAGACUUUUGCUGCUACCAUGAUAUAAAGAUUGGGAAACAGAUAUUUUAUCUUG
rnacentral:lncRNA from 1 species